UAAAACCAUUUUAAAAUGAACAGGUUUACAGAUAAAUAUAUAAAACUCUUACUCUUGGACUAUAAAUUGCAGCUCGUACAUUCCCACGAUCCACGCGAUGCAACGUACAGUGUGACAUUAGAUUUCAUCGAGUGCAAGUUCGUCAUGUACGUAAUAAUUAAAAAGUAUAAGUGCACAUUUUAAAAACUCUGUGAAACCAGUGCAGUAUUUCCUAAAAUGAGUACCUACUGCUCAGCAAGACAAUUAAAUAUC